rnacentral:lncRNA from 1 species
UAAAUGAGGGAAGGUGUGGGAACAGAACUGGAUCACAGAGGCUCCAACAAGCUGCAUCCCCCUCUCCACACCCCUAGGUCCCAAGACUCCUGAGGCACACAUCAGACUCCCAAAGUCAGGAAGUGGGGAUGUGAGCAGCACCAUAUGGCAGUGACAGCACCUUCUGCAAGAAGAGAAACUCUAAACCAAUUACAACAAUAUCAUUUCUGUGUUGAACCAUAAGUCAUUGGAAACCCACUGCAACCAUGCUUCCAUAAUAGCAGCUGGAAUCUCCAAUUCUACAGAGAAAAGGAAUGUUGAAGUAACAUACAUGUAGCUUUGAGGAGGAGGCACGUGCAUUCAAGCUCAUGGAGAGGAUUGACAGCCACAGACAGGCACUCAUAAGAACUGAAUGUAAAUCAUCAAAGAGAAUAUACUCAGGAGGCACUGUCUACCAUAGAGGGAAGGAAGAUGAGAUGGGUCAUUGGUGUCUUCCCACAACUUCAUACAUCUGCUGACAAUUGCCAAAUUUGGAGUCAUGUGAAAAGAGACGGGCUGAGUAAGAAAGAUCAGAGGAUAUCUUUGACAGUCACUUCUGGAUGGAAUGCAGUCGUGCAAUCCUAGCUAACAUAACCUCCAACUCCUGGGCUUGGGAUCUUCCACGUCAGCCUCCCAAAUAGC